GGAAGGUGGAUCCGCGAGGCGCGGAGCCUGCUUGGAAAGCAGUGCGGUCGGCUGAACGCCGAUCGAGGUUCGAGUCCUCCAACUUCCG
rnacentral:tRNA from 1 species